UUUGGUAACAGGUGAAAGACUCGUACGAAAAUAUCAAUAAAAGUUACUCUUUUCUCUCUCAAUCUCUUAUCAAACCCUAGAACAAUUCUGUACAAAUUUACUUUUCUGCAAUCAACAUGGUAUCAGAGCGAGGGAUAUCAUAGAGUGGGAUCUGUUCUAUCCUCCGAUAUUACCCCAUUCAAUUUCAUCGGAUUUGUGAUCUUUCGGCAUGGUUCGUCAGUUUCGACAAAUUCUGAUUUUUUGGCAAUUUUUUUGCGCAGUUUUGUUGAGGAUAAUCAUUUUGUGUUUCUUCCGGUGAUUUGCUGUGAAAUUUUGGUUCUUUUACAAGUUCCUCGUGAAUCUAGGGUUUCCUAUUGGUGAAGGGGGUACUUUACUUCGCGACUCUCUUCUUUUGAAGGUCGUACAUCUCCGGUUGCGAUGAGGAUCGGUACUUGAAGGGUACUUCUGAACAUGGGAUCUUCUUGAAUGCCUCACCAGACUUGUUUGUUUCUGCUUUCUGUGACAGUGAUUGGGCUGCCUGUCUGACACUAAGCAAUCUGCCUCAGGUUAUUGUAUUUUAUUGGGCGGUAGCCUUGUGGUUUGGAAGUCUAAGAAGUAGCCCAUUGUUAGCAUGUCCUCUGCUAAAGCUAAGUAUAGAGCCAUGAAUAAAGGCGUGGCUGAGCUGGCCUGAUUGUCUAGAUUGCUUGCUGACUUGGGUCUUCCUUGCUCUUCCUAUAUACUUUAUUUUGUGCCAGUCAAGCUGCAAUCCACAUUGCUAGAAACCCAAUUUUCCAUGAAAGAACCAAAUAUAUCCAGUUGGAUUGUUAUCUGGUUCAUACCAAGCUUGUUGAGGGUUUGAUUCAUUUGGUACACACUUCUUCUUCUACUCAGUUGGCUGACCUCUUCACUAAGCCACUUCCAGGUGCUGCUCAUCAUGUUUUUUUUUUUUGCUCAAUCUCUUAUCAAACCCUAGAACAAUUUUGUACAAAUUUACUUCGAUUUUCCUUAAUCAACAGGGAUGGGGUGCAGAAUGAUGGUUUUUUUUUUUAAAUUUCAAAAUAAUGAUGCCCAGAUGUAUACUUUUAUAUUUAUAAAGAGAAAAAAAAAAGAAUGAGAUAGAGACGGAUAUGUACAAUGUUAUCCAUGUGUUCAUGUGAACCUUCAAAAUCUAUUAAGUAUGUAUUAAGAAAUUCAUUAAA